UGGGGAAUAUUGCACAAUGGGGGAGACCCUGAUGCAGCGACGCCGCGUGAGUGAAGAAGUAUUUCGGUAUGUAAAGCUCUAUCAGCAGGGAAGACAACCGCCCUCAGGGGCGGCCACGACGGUACCUGACUAAGAAGCCCCGGCUAACUACGUGCCAGCAGCCGCGGUAAUACGUAGGGGGCAAGCGUUAUCCGGAUUUACUGGGUGUAAAGGGAGCGUAGGUGGCAAGGCAAGUCAGAUGUGAAAUCCCGGGGCUCAACCCCGGUACUGCAUUUGAAACUGUCUGGCUAGAGUGCAGGAGAGGUAAGCGGAAUUCCUAGUGUAGCGGUGAAAUGCGUAGAUAUUAGGAGGAACACCAGUGGCGAAGGCGGCUUACUGGACUGUAACUGACACUGAGGCUCGAAAGCGUGGGGAGCAAACAGGAUUAGAUACCC
rnacentral:rRNA from 1 species